rnacentral:rRNA from 1 species
GAUGAACGCCGGCGGCGUGCCUAAUACAUGCAAGUCGAGCGAAUGGAUUAAGAGCUUGCUCUUAUGAAGUUAGCGGCGGACGGGUGAGUAACACGUGGGUAACCUGCCCAUAAGACUGGGAUAGCUCCGGGAAACCGGGGCUAAUACCGGAUAACAUUUUGAACCGCAUGGUUCGAAAUUGAAAGGCGGCUUCGGCUGUCACUUAUGGAUGGACCCGCGUCGCAUUAGCUAGUUGGUGAGGUAACGGCUCACCAAGGCAACGAUGCGUAGCCGACCGGAGAGGGUGAUGGGCCACACUGGAACGGGGAAAGUGCCCAGGCGCCUACGGGAGGCAGCAGUAGGGAAUCUUCCGCAAUGGACGAAAGUCUGACGGAGCAACGCCGCGUGGGUGAUGAAGGCGUUCGGGUCGUAAAACUCUGUUGUUAGGGAAGAACAAGUGCUAGUUGAAUAAGCUGGCACCUUGACGGUACCUAACCAGAAAGCCACGGCUAACUACGUGCCAGCCGCCGCCGUAA